rnacentral:rRNA from 1 species
UGCCAGCAGCCGCGGUAAUACGGAGGGGGUUAGCGUUGUUCGGAAUCACUGGGCGUAAAGCGUACGUAGGCGGAUUAAUAAGUUAGAUGUGAAAUCCCUGGGCUCAACCCAGGAACUGCGUUUAAAACUAGUGAUCUAGAAUUUGGUAGGGGUUAGUAGAAUUUCCAGUGUAGAGGUGAAAUUCGUAGAUAUUGGAAAGAAUACCAGUGGCGAAGGCGACUAACUGGGCCAUUUUUGACGCUGAGAUACGAAAGCGUGGGUAGCAAACAGGAUUAGAUA